GUUCCUCCCCAGCCGCGUUCAAUCAGGCUCUCUGGGCGUGGGCCCCGGGCAUGGGCAAUCCUGAGAGCUCCCCAGGUGAUGCUAAUGAGAAACCAGGGCCAAGACCUGAGGCCUAUUUCUCGCAUGCUCCAGGGUGCCUGGAGAGGGACGCCAGCAGCGAGCGGGAUGCCAGGUCAAACAAAACACAUCUGCAGGCCACUAAGUGGGAACCUCUCUGAGGUCUCUAAGUUUUAGUAUCUUUGCCCUGCUCCCACCCACGUGGCCCCUGGGAAGCCCUGGUGCAUGACAACAGCAGCACUGAGUGUGACAGUGCUGCGCUUGGGUUGGGGCAUCAGCCACGAGCUCCAGCAACAGGUGAACUACAGAGGUGACAGACAGGCAACCGUCUGUCCUCGGUCCCAGCCUUGCUGAGCACAUGACCUACUGUCGUCCCACGCCCCACCUCAGGCAGAGAGCUGGGCAGAAUGGACAAGCAGGAGAGUGGGGGCGAGCUCCAGCUGGGGGUUCUCUUUACCCCAAGCUGCUCACCCCGAGUCCUCUCCUCGGGUUGUUGGCUUAUUUUUGAGUUGUUGUUUUGGCUUUUAAUUACAUUUAAAAUGUGUUUUAAAAACCAUUAUUGUUUUUUAUUAUAAAAGUAAUAUUAAGUUUAUUGUGGAUAAUUUGGAAUAUACAGGAAAGUAUGAAGAGGAAAUGAAAAUCACCUAUAAUCUCAACUGCCCCUCGGGUUCUGAAUACAGAAUGAGUCCAGGCCGUUCUGAAAGAGGGGCCCUACUUCAGUGUGCCGCAGGAGGGGCCCCGGAGGUCUCCUCCCAUGGGAACAGAGUUCCAUUUCCUGAAAGCGGGGACAUUCAACACCUUCAAAAGGCUGGUCCAUCAGACCUUUGAUACUUGUCAGAGACAGACUGUGAGAACCCACCUUCUUUUUCAGAUCAACACUUCUUCCUCAUACAUAAUAACAAAAAUUCCCAUUACAAAGAGAUCCUUAGGGAAGGACCUGUUGGCUGUCGGAGGCAGCAGCUGGAGGUGAGAAAAGACCUCUCACCAAGGCCGCAUGUGCCCUCUGGUGGCAGCUGGAGGGGAUGGCUCCAGGCAGGGCUUGGCCCCGGCCAGCCCUCGCUCUCAUCAGCGGUUCUCAAAGGGGGGGGUCGCAUGACCCACCUCACUUGGGAACUUGUUAGAAACACAAUUUUUCAGGCUCUACCCUAGACCUCUUGAAUCAGAAGCUCUGGGGAUGGGACCCAGCACUUUGUGUUUUAACAAGCCCUUCCAGCGGCUG
rnacentral:lncRNA from 1 species